CUUCGCUCUGCCCUCGGCGGUCCCCCCGGCCUGUCAUCCCCGGCCCCAAAGCUUUGGUUGGAAAUGCGUUUCCAUCCGGACUUAAGACGAUGAAAGAUGAGGAAUUCGCCGUAUGCAUUUAAAACGUUGCUCUUAAUAAGCAGGGUGUGCGGAAGCGCACGCCCGGCCUGUUUAAGGAAGACAGACACAUAAAACACCCCCGAGCUGCUGGGUAUAAACCUGCUCUCGGGGUCGGCUCGCUGCUUCUGAGGAUCAGUAGGGCUGCCAAAGCGGGGACACGUUCAGCAGCAUCUCCGUCUGUGCCACUUUGCCUCCCUCCUAAACCAAACCCGUUCCGGGGACGCACUCCCGAGCUAAGGCCGGCGAGAGAGAGACCCACACACCCCCCCGCCCCCCGAAAUCACGACGUCCUGUUUCUUACGGGGACAUUUCCCCCCGCGGGAUAAUGGCGAGAAAUCACAGCGGAGCACCGCCUCGCUUUCCCCGGCGUGCUGCGGGAGCGCACUCCGAAGGAGCCCGGCCUUGCCGUAGCGCUGCUAGUGCUUGCUCGCGAAAUCCCUCAGUUAGAUGGCCAGAACGUCUUUGCCGCGUUCUUGGAUUUUUCCUUCAUCGCGACUACUGCAAGGCGAAGAUGACACUGGCAUAUUAGACCCGAUCCUUCCGAAUUGCAGGGGGCAUGGAUUUCGGCUUCAGAGUUAGUAUUUUCGUUUAAGGAAGGGAGGGAGGGAAUUCACCCAAAUCAAAUCAACUUUAAAAAACAAAAAAAAAAAAAAAAGAAAAAAGGGGAGAAAAAAAAGGGGGAGGAAAAAAAAAAAAAAGAAAAAAAGAAAAAAAAAAAAGAAAAAAACACCAAACCAAACAAACAAAAACCACCACCAACAGAAGUGGUGCGAGGAGGGGGAAGGCGAUCUCUGAGCCGCAAGCCCAGCAGGCAGAGCUGAUCGGGAGAAGGCAGUCCUCCUCUGCCUCUGCACUACCCAGAGCUUCGAAACCGAGACUGAGAGACCUACACAAGCCACGGUCCUCUCCUGCAGCCGGAAUCGGAUCUUCUCCUCGCCGGGGAGCAAAGAGCACCGGCUUCCCCUCACCGAGGGAUUUCUUCUCCUCGAGCCUUCCCCGUCCAAAACCAAUAAUAAGAAAAUAUCAAAAGCAGAGCGGCCGCGCGAGAAACCAUAGGGCUAGGCGGGCUGGACCAUUUUCGGACGCUAUUUUUGUCUCUUAAAAAAAAAAAAAAAAAA